ensembl:lncRNA
GCCUGUACAUGUUCUAUCUGUACUUGUUCUGCUUGUACUUGUUCUGCCUGUAUACCAUGUUCUUCACCAGGGUCAAGGGUUGCCAACUUUUUAUGUUUUAGCUUCACUGAGUGACUUUAGGAGCUUGUGCUGCUAGCUACUCCCAUUGGAGAGCGGUUGGAAACAGGUAUUUGGUGGGACGACAGUCUUCUUUGCUCCCUACUUGUGGCAACACCGCCUCCCCCGCCUGUGAUGGCACGUCACAGGGAAGGGUGCAGUCACGUCAAGGGGCCACGUGGGGUUAAACUCUAGCACCCUCAUUCCGCCUGGCAAUUAGGCCAGCCGGCAGUUGGCAGCUCUGCGGAUGGCUUUAAUCACUCGUAGGAGGUAAUUUGCUACGUUUUAUGUAAAUGCGGCCGGCGGGGGGGAAACAAGCGCCGAUGUGUUCCUUCGUCUGACUUUCUUCUUUUUGUGUCCGCGUCUCCUUUUUCCUUUUUCCUUUCUGUCACUUCCUCUGCCUCUUCCUCUCUCUCACUGUGACCAUCUCCGUUCUCCGGCCGCCACCUCUCCCUAUUCCCCUCCUCAACCUUCCAUCCCACUCGUCGACAUUUUUUAUUUUUCCCACAAUGCCUUCCCCUCUCCCUUCCACGAUACAAAUCUCCCUCUACCUCUUUCCAUCUCGAUCUCUCCAAGUCAGGUGACACCAGUCAGACCACUAAUUAGAAUUCUGUCACUAAGUAAAUGCAUUGUGACCGGUGGCUGACAGCUCUCCACGCCUGUGUGUGUGUGUGUGUUUGUGCGUGUGUGUGUGCAUGUGUGUGUGUGACAGUUUGGGCAGCUUGUUGGCGGUGACGAUAGCAGCCGCCUGGCAUUUUUAACGUGGCAAGGUGAUGCUCUCGCCACUGACCUGACAGUCAUUUAAAUUACACAGAGGAUGGCUGCUGUGUGUGUGUGUGUGUGUGUGUGAGUGUGAGAGGAGAAUGGGAGUGGGCUUGAGGAAGGACCAUUAGUAGCUGUGGGAUAAUUCACUGACUCGUGGGUUGACUGAUUGUGUAGCUGACGGACUCUCUGACUCAUUGUUGGAAAACCGACAGACAGACAGGCAAGGCUUGUUUACCAUGUCAGCUCACUAAUAUAAGUCAAAUCUCGCUCUCUCUCUCCCGUUAAGACACACACAUGCACUCACACACUGAGAGGAAGAGAUUAUAAUGUGAGGGAAGAAAAUCAAAUGGCAGGAAGGAGUUGGAAGGAGCUGGAGAACUAACAAAUGGCUCUCAUAGCCCGGCGUCAACCAUUGCGGCUUGAUAAAGAGCGGUGAGGGAGGAAAGGAAGUGGGCGAGGCAGACAUAUUUGUGAUACCUGUCAAAGGUUCUUCAGGCAAAUUGGCGUAAUCAGAUUUCUUCUAUUGCUUUUAAAAAAGUUCACCAACAAGCUAAAUCUCUUUAAGAGAUGUUGUCAAAAAUGACAUGAUCUUUAUAAACUCUGCCUACAAAAGUUCCAAAUACACUCUGACAGAGCAAUAUUAGUAAUUAUUAGGCCGGAUAUGUUAUGAAGCAUUAAAACAGUCCGAUUUUUUUAGCCAGAUAAAUAAUUUCGUAAGGAAAUUAAUUUGUUAAGAAAUUGUUACAUUUAAAAAAAAAUCUCAUUCAUUCCCAGCCACAUUUGCAAUAAAAUGGAUUCAGUUUUAGACCUUCACUAGUAGAAGCAAACCCGGAUGCAACACACAAACGGCCUGCUAUAAAUACAGCGGAAUCUUGGCCGGUUGAAAUGUUUUAUUUUGGAGCUUGUUUGGAUUAAUCAGAUUCUGCCCUCUAGAUGCUUAUGGCCUUUCAUAGAAAACCAGUGUGCUGAUGGCACGAUCCUCACUGGGACGGGCCUGCUGUCAACAGUGAUGCAGAGGUUCAGAUUUUCUGACAUUGUGGGGACGUUGUGAGUGAAAAAGGGUUUGAUUUGACCUCUGCGAGCCGGCGCCAUGCCAAUGACUAUGGUUAAGCGAAAAUGUAUGUCGAAGAAAGAGAGAUGAGGGAAGAAAAGAUUUAUCUCGAUGCUCCUGAUUACCAUCCUGAUGCUGUUUGCAGACCACGAAUGGGAUGUGCAUGUUUACAUGUUUGCGUCAUUUGGCUCGUUUUAUUAGAAACUGUCCUUUGAACUAUUUGUGUUCCUUUGCACAAGUGGGAAAUGUAGUUUCAUGUGUAUUUAAGUGUGUGACAUUUACACGUUCUUCCAAAAGAUCGCCGUCAGGAUGGACACUAGCAUACGGCAGUUUAGCCAGAGAGAGGAAAAAAAGGAAAGAUACAAUCAUGGGAAAGUUAAGAAUCAAUGUGGUUGGACUACUCCAUCGCUUCUUCAUUUUUCUGUGAUUGUAUCUUUUUUUUUUUUUUACUAUCGUGAAAGAAAAAGUGCAAAGGGGAGAGAGACAGAAAGAUGGAGAGAAGGGAAGGGAAGAGAAGAGGCCUUUACAGAAUAGCCUCUUGAAGGAAAACGCUCCGUGUCACCAGCAGCAGACAAGCCCCAAUGACAGCAGCAGGGUAAAACACCUCUAAUGCACCUCUGUGGCUUUUUACUGCUUCUCGUAUCGCAGCCGGGACACACACACACACUCACACACACAUGGCUGCUCACAUACAAACACACACACACAAACAAGCAAGCCAGCCAAGUAUGAGGACACUUGAGAUUUUUUCCUUUUUUUCCACCGAGGCACUCCGGUACAAACUCAAGCGCACACAAUGUGUAUAUUUAUUAUUCACGCCUUUGUUUUGCACACAGACAUCAGGCUUGCCCGAGGAGGGGAGGGAGGGACGGGAGAGAUAAAUAACAGUGAUAAGUCUUGUCUUGUCACAGGAGAGGAGAAGGGCUGAGUGACAUACGAUUGGUCUCCCGCUCGUGAAAUAUGCAUGGCUUUUUCAGCAGCCAGAGGAGGGGAGAGGAGUUAAUUUAGGCCUCUCGCUAUGCUCGGGGUAAUUAAAAGAGAUGAUCGAUAGUUUCCCCCCCGUGACUGAUAACAACCGCCACACGUUCACGCGCGCGCGCGCACACACACACACACACACACACACACACACACACACACACACACACACACACACACACACACGGGAGAGAAUGGACUGUGGCACCGGUCUCACUGCUGAGCGGGCCACCCAGGCUCAAUCAGAACAGCGAGACGUAGAGAUUGAGAUGAUGUGUGGGAUAAAAAGGGGGGUGUGAGUGUGGGUGUGGUUGUUUCUUAAUUGAGUGUGAUAAGAUCUAAACACAGUUACCGAGCGGCAGCCGACAGAAAAAGCAGAAAGCAGAAGGCUGAAGAUGAAAAAGGUGUUGUAGUGUUCGGUGUUGUGUUUGGUCCGAUUGUCUGAUGUUUGCUUUUGUUGUUUUCUUCUUGUUACGUCUUCAGUUGCUGCUGUCAGAGAUCUCGCUGUUGUCUUUAAAGCGGCUCCUCACACUCGUAUUUUAACAGUUAAACGAUGCAGUGCUGUUGUAAUAAUCUUCUUUGUCUAAAUAAAAAGUUAACCAAUCUUUUAUACAAAGAGAUUUUUUUGUCUUUGCCCAAGGUUGCCUCCCAGAUCUCCGUUAUCUUAUUCCUCCCCAGUUCAAUAGUGUACUAUAAUCAACAGUAAAUUGAUUUUUUUUUUAAAUGAUCAACCUUUUGGGUCAUUACUGAAAGUUCUGUUCCCCUCACAUUUAUCUGCACGCUGAGGUGCAACGAAUUUAUUUGCCUCACACUUUCUUAACCACUUUCUGGGCAAAUAUUUACAUGUGAAAUAGUAACAAGACUCUAGGGUUGGAAUUAUGAUUGAUUCAUUUUAACCAAAUGCUUAACUAGCCGGACAUUGUCUCUUCAGUCAGCAGCUGUGCUGCACUAUGCAAAUCAUGCAUUGUCACGGUGCAGUUCAUGGUGGAUGUCUUCCAAUGAUCAAUGAUGUAUUGAUAUUUCCUCGUAAUAAAUACAAUUAUAUAGUAAUUUUGAGAAACUUACGUCACGUUACCAUACUUGUGCGUGCAUUGAAUUGUCAGCAAACAGAUGUUUACAAGCCGAUGUGUGGACGUGUCUUUUUUGUUUCCUUGGACGGUGUUCUGAGGGACCUAAAUAAAACGUCGGCGGCUAAAUGCAGCGCGCCGCUGUGGAGAACUGAGGACGACGUGCACUCGCACACACAACUGUUUCCUGCUCUGUCUCUCUGCGCCCCCCCCCCCCCCCCCCCCCGCCCCGACCCAAAAACCUCCAUCCCAAAAAAAGGUGAUAAUCAG